GUCGAACGACUUGAACCUAGCGAUAAGAGUGGCGGACGGGUGAGUAACGCGUGGGUACCUGCCUUGUACUGGGGGACAACAGUUGGAAACGACUGCUAAUACCGCAUAAGUCGCAUGAGAAAAACUCCGGUGGCAAGAUGGACCCGCGUCUGAUUAGCUGGUUGGUGAGGUAACGGCCCACCAAGGCGACGAUCAGUAGCCGGCCUGAGAGGGUGAACGGCCACAUUGGGACUGAGACACGGCCCAAACUCCUACGGGAGGCAGCAGUGGGGAAUAUUGCACAAUGGGGGAAACCCUGAUGCAGCAACGCCGCGUGAGUGAAGAAGUAUUUCGGUAUGUAAAGCUCUAUCAGCAGGAAAGAAAAUGACGGUACCUGACUAAGAAGCCCCGGCUAACUACGUGCCAGCAGCCGCGGUAAUACGUAGGGGGCAAGCGUUAUCCGGAUUUACUGGGUGUAAAGGGAGCGUAGACGGUUUUGCAAGUCUGAAGUGAAAGCCGGGGCUUAACCCCGGGACUGCUUUGGAAACUGUAGACUAGAGUGCAGGAGAGGUAAGUGGAAUUCCUAGUGUAGCGGUGAAAUGCGUAGAUAUUAGGAGGAACACCAGUGGCGAAGGCGGCUUACUGGACUGUAACUGACGUUGAGGCUCGAAAGCGUGGGGAGCAAACAGGAUUAGAUACCCUGGUAGUCCACGCCGUANACGAUGAUUACUAGGUGUUG
rnacentral:rRNA from 1 species